CUUAAUUACCUUCUUUGUGGCAUUUUUGGUCAAAGAAAAAAAAAAAAGAAGGUAGUCCAAUUACCUUCUUUUUAAAUAGAGUUUUGAAAAGAAGAUAAU